GCCCGCGGCCUAUCAGCUUGUUGGUGGGGUGAUGGCCUACCAAGGCGACGACGGGUAGCCGGCCUGAGAGGGUGUCCGGCCACACUGGGACUGAGAUACGGCCCAGACUCCUACGGGAGGCAGCAGUGGGGAAUAUUGCACAAUGGGCGCAAGCCUGAUGCAGCGACGCCGCGUGGGGGAUGACGGCCUUCGGGUUGUAAACCUCUUUCAGUACCGACGAAGCGUAAGUGACGGUAGGUACAGAAGAAGCACCGGCCAACUACGUGCCAGCAGCCGCGGUAAUACGUAGGGUGCGAGCGUUGUCCGGAAUUACUGGGCGUAAAGAGCUCGUAGGUGGUUUGUCGCGUUGUCCGUGAAAACUCACAGCUUAACUGUGGGCGUGCGGGCGAUACGGGCAGACUGGAGUACUGCAGGGGAGACUGGAAUUCCUGGUGUAGCGGUGGAAUGCGCAGAUAUCAGGAGGAACACCGGUGGCGAAGGCGGGUCUCUGGGCAGUAACUGACGCUGAGGAGCGAAAGCGUGGGGAGCGAACAGGAUUAGAUACCCUGGUAGUCCACGCCGUAAACGGUGGGUACUAGGUGUGGGUUUCCUUCCUUGGGAUCCGUGCCGUAGCUAACGCAUUAAGUACCCCGCCUGGGGAGUACGGCCGCAAGGCUAAAACUCAAAGGAAUUGACGGGGGCCCGCACAAGCGGCGGAGCAUGUGGAUUAAUUCGAUGCAACGCGAAGAACCUUACCUGGGUUUGACAUGCACAG
rnacentral:rRNA from 1 species